UGAGGCGGGAGAGGCGAAGUGACUCGCCGGGGUUCCCAGCUUGUGGGAGGCAAACCAGGCCCGGAGAGCCCUCCCCGCCGCACAGACCUGGGUGCAGGCGCGGCAGGUUAACACGCAGCAGCCCCGUCUGCUCUGAGAGCCUCACCUUCCUGCAUGGAACGGAUGUGGGCAGAGCUGCAGUGAGGCAUGAGGAUGAACACUGCACCAGGCCUGAGAAAAUGUCUCUUCCUGCUUUGUGUUGUGUGCCCGCUGGCUUCAGGGCCAUCCCCAGCUCUCGGGCUGCUCUGUUGCCAUCCUGUCCUCCCCAGGGCCACUGCGGAAGGCACUGCUCAAGGGUCUUCUCACUCUGCUCCAUAGUUCCCCAAGAUCCAUGGCCUCUCCUUUGGGGAGCAGCCCCCAUGUCCAAAUGUUUCCAGAGAAGCUCAAGAAGGCCACUGGGCUCUGGGUGGCAGCCAAGCUCAUGGUUAACCCUGCACCCCCCCCCAACACACCCCACAGUUGCCCAACCAGGAGCCCCAGCGCUCUCCCCGACACUGCAUCCCCACCCCACGCCCCCUGCUUCCUGCAGCCCCGUGGAUUCUCUCCAGUGUUAUUCCAGAUCACACCACUUCCUUCCGUCCCACUCCACCCCGUUCCUGCUCAUGUCACCUUUCUGUCUACUCCCCAAACCAUGGCAGCAAGAUCUGUUCAAGAUGGAAAUCCGAUUAUGUAACGCAGGUGGAUUGGGCCGGACCUUCUGUUCCAGGUGGAUCCCAGGCCCCAGAGCCCUGAAGAAAACUGCAAUACUUUCAGAAAAUGAUAGGGUUACGAGAGAGGAAAUGGCAAGGCGAGCCAGGAUGUAGGAAAAGUUCUUUGCAAACCCAAGUACAUACUUGACGAAAGCUGUGGACCUAGGAUAUAAAAGGAACCCCCAAGAGUCCGUAGAGCAAAAGGCAACUAUCCGCAGACGUGGGGAGAGGAGCCCCACAGGCAGUUUGUUGGAGAGACAACGGCAAGGAACUGUUGCUGGGACGAGCCCUGUGCGGUUUUGCUUCCGUUUGCCGAUGCAGUUCAAGAGCGCAUGGAGUUGUUGGACAGUGGGGCACGACUUGUGAGAACGCCGUUCUGAUCUGGGGCGUUGGGUGAGGAGGCCCUCUCCGUACCUUCCAGCGUCCCUGUCACUGGACCACCUCCAGGGGCUGCUUCUGCAUUUUGGCAGCUCAGAGCUUCGUACAAGGGUAGACUCAAGAGUGCCUUCCCUCCCUGAGGCAGGGCCCCACAGCUGAUGGGUGAGGAGGAGUCUCGGGGGAGCACAGUGGGUCCCUUGAGGUAUGACCACUGAUACCCGGCCCUGAGUCACCCUGACUCCUGCCUGUCCCUCACCCCUACCUCAGAAACCAAAUAUUUCUUUAUUUGAUAGAUAGUUAGAUGAUAGAUAGAUAGAUAGAUAGAUGACAGAUAAUUUUUAAAAAUUUUAGGGGUAGGGGUACCUGGGUGGCUCAGUGGUUGAGCGUCUGCCUUCA